CCCUUAGAUGUUCUGGGCCGCACGCGCGCUACACUGAUGCAUUCAACGAGUCUAAAACCUGGUCUGAGAGGGCUGGGUAAUCUUUUGAAAGUGCAUCGUGAUUGGGAUAGAUGAUUGCAAUUCUUCAUCUUCAACGAGGAAUGCCCAGUAAACGCAAGUCAUCAGCUUGCAUUGAUUACGUCCCUGCCCUUUGUACACACCGCCCGUCGCUCCUACCGAUUGAACGAUCCGAUGAAAACUGUGGAUUGAGAGUCUGAGUGGGUUCGCCUACCUCAACUUUCGAGAAGCGGUUUAAAUCUUAUCGUUUAGAGGAAGGAGAAGUCGUAACA
rnacentral:rRNA from 1 species